AAUCAAGCGUCUUAAGGGCAUUCGGUGGAUGCCUUGGCGCGCAGAGGCGAUGAAGGACGUGGCACGCUGCGAUAAGCCGCGGGGAGCUGUGAGCAAGCUUUGAUCCGUGGAUUUCCGAAUGGGGAAACCCAACCCGCAAGGGUUAUCGUUACCUGAAUACAUAGGGUAACGAAGCGACCCCAGGGAACUGAAACAUCUCAGUACCUGGAGGAAAGGACAUCAACCGAGACUCCGUUAGUAGUGGCGAGCGAACGCGGACUAGGCCAAUGCCUCAAGUCUUCUAACUGGAACCGUCUGGAAAGUCGGGCCUUAGCGGGUGAUAGCCCCGUACAGGUGUUGAAGGCAUGAGGAUACGAGUAGGGCGGGACACGAGAAAUCCUGUCUGAACAUGGGGGGACCACCCUCCAAGCCUAAGUACUCCUGCGCGACCGAUAGUGCACAAGUACCGUGAGGGAAAGGUGAAAAGCACCCCGACGAGGGGAGUGAAACAGUUCCUGAAACCGGAUGCCUACAAACAGUUGGAGCCCGCAAGGGUGACAGCGUACCUUUUGUAUAAUGGGUCAGCGACUUAAUCUGGCGAGCAAGCCUAAGCCGAUAGGUGUAAGCGUAGCGAAAGCGAGUCUGAACAGGGCGUUCAGUUCGUCGGAUUAGACCCGAAACCGAGUGAUCUAGCCAUGAGCAGGCUGAAGGUGAGGUAACACUUACUGGAGGGCCGAACCCACGUCUGUUGAAAAAGACGGGGAUGACUUGUGGCUAGGGGUGAAAGGCCAAUCAAACUCGGAAAUAGCUGGUUCUCCGCGAAAUCUAUUUAGGUAGAGCGUCGGGCGAAUACUCCAGGGGGUAGAGCACUGGAUGGGCUAGGGGUCCUUACCGGAUUACCAAACCUAACCAAACUCCGAAUACCUGGAAGUACUACCCGGCAGACACACCAUGGGUGCUAACGUCCGUGGUGGAGAGGGAAAAAACCCUGACCGCCGUCUAAGGUCCCUAAAUUGUGGCUAAGUGGGAAAGGAUGUGGGGUCCCCAAAACAACCAGGAGGUUGGCUUAGAAGCAGCCAUCCUUUAAAGAAAGCGUAACAGCUCACUGGUCUAAAUAAGGGGCCCUGCGCCGAAGAUGUACCGGGGCUAAAGCCACAUACCGAAGACGCGGGUGCAUGCUUGCAUGCGCGGUAGCGGAGCGUUCCGUAAGCCUGUGAAGGGUGACCCGUGAGGGCACCUGGAGGUAUCGGAAGUGAGAAUGCUGACAUGAGUAACGACAAACAGUGUGAGAGACACUGUCGCCGAAAGUCCAAGGGUUCCUGCGUAAAGUUAAUCUGCGCAGGGUUAGCCGGCCCCUAAGGCGAGGGCGAAAGCCGUAGUCGAUGGGAACCACGUUAAUAUUCGUGGGCCAGUGGGAAGUGACGAACGCCGAAAGUUGUCAGGGCUUAUUGGAUUGUCCUGGCCGCGUAGGAGUUCCAGGAAAUAGCUCCCACAUGAGACCGUACCCUAAACCGACACAGGUGGACUGGUAGAGCAUACCAAGGCGCUUGAGAGAACGAUGCUGAAGGAACUCGGCAAAUUGCCUCCGUAACUUCGGGAGAAGGAGGCCCCAUGCUUGGGCAACCAGGUGUGGGGGGCACAAACUAGGGGGUAGCGACUGUUUACUAAAAACACAGGGCUCUGCGAAAUCGCAAGAUGACGUAUAGGGUCUGACGCCUGCCCGGUGCCGGAAGGUUAAGAGGAGAGGUGCAAGCUUUGAAUCGAAGCCCCGGUAAACGGCGGCCGUAACUAUAACGGUCCUAAGGUAGCGAAAUUCCUUGUCGGGUAAGUUCCGACCUGCACGAAUGGCGUAACGACUUCCCCGCUGUCUCCAGCAUCGACUCAGUGAAAUUGAAUUCCCCGUGAAGAUGCGGGGUUCCUGCGGUUAGACGGAAAGACCCCGUGCACCUUUACUAUAGCUUUGCAGUGGCAUUAGUGACGGCAUGUGUAGGAUAGGUGGUAGGCUUUGAAGCGGGAGCGCCAGCUUUCGUGGAGCCGCCCUUGAAAUACCACCCUUACUUUUACUGAUGUCUAACCGCGGUCCGUUAUCCGGAUCCGGGACCCUGCAUGGUGGGUAGUUUGACUGGGGCGGUCGCCUCCCAAAGAGUAACGGAGGCGCGCGAUGGUAGGCUCAGGCUGGUCGGAAAUCAGCUGUCGAGUGCAAUGGCAUAAGCCUGCCUGACUGCGAGACGUACAUGUCGAGCAGAGACGAAAGUCGGUCAUAGUGAUCCGGUGGUUCCACGUGGAAGGGCCAUCGCUCAACGGAUAACAGGUACGCCGGGGAUAUCAGGCUGAUCUCCCCCAAGAGUCCAUAUCGACGUGGAGGUUUGGCACCUCGAUGUCGGCUCAUCACAUCCUGGGGCUGGAGCAGGUCCCAAGGGUUCGGCUGUUCGCCGAUUAAAGUGGUACGUGAGCUGGGUUUAGAACGUCGUGAGACAGUUCGGUCCUUAUCCGCUGUGGGCGUUGGAGAUCUGAGAGACACCAUCCUCAGUACGAGAGGACCAGGAUGGAGGAGGCGCUGGUGUAAAAGUUGUCCCGCCCGGGGCAUCGCUUUGUAGCCAUCCUCAAUGGGAUAAGCGCUGAAAGCAUCUAAGUGCGAAGCCCUCCUCAAGAUGAGAUCUCCCAUCCUACAAAAGGAGUAAGAUCCCGGGAAGACUACCCGGUAGUAGGGCCUGGAGGCGUAAGCUCUGCAAGGAGUUAAACUUACCAGGACCCAUAGAUCGAGGGCUUGACCAG
rnacentral:rRNA from 1 species